rnacentral:rRNA from 1 species
AAAACAUCUCUCUUUGAAUUACUUAAAGAGUAGGCCCUGCCCGGUGCGGAGAAUCUAAACGGAAUCUUUUUUUAAAGUAGCGUAAUAAUUUGGCCCUUAAUUAGGGUCUGGAAUGAAGGGGUUGACGUGGGAAAGCUGUCUCUAUAGGAGAUUUUUAAAUUUUCUUUCUAGUGAAAAGCCUGGAAUUUGAUUAAAAGACGAGAAGACCCCGUCGAGCUUAAUUAAUUCUUUAAAUUAUUUAUAAAAUUAAGAGUAAAGGUUUGUUGGGGCAACAGUUGAGAAGUAAAACCUCUUAAACUUAACAUGGAUCCACUUUUUAGUGAUACUAGGAAAAAGUUACCGCGGGGAUAACAGCGCAAGAUAACCCGAGAGAUCUUAUCGAAGGUUGUAUUUGUGACCUCGAUGUUGGAUUAGAGCAGACCUCUUGGCGUAGAAGUUAAGAUAGGUGGGACUGUUCGUCCCUUAAUUCUCUACAUGAUCUGAGUUCAAACCGGAGA